rnacentral:sRNA from 1 species
UAGAUUACAUAUUGAAUGGCAGUGCCGAUAUUCAGUAUAAAAUACAGUGUGAAUUUCUGCCAAGAUUUAUAGUGCUGUCUAGCUGUCUUUUUGCCGGCGCAAUACUUUUGGUAGCGUCCUCCGUAGUUCUUAUAUAGAUUCAUUUAUCCUACAUAAAAUCAUCAACAUAUCUUAGCAGAUACUAGAUACUUUGCUGUUAAAUCUCUAUUUAACCCACUACUAGUACUGUUUGAAGCAACCUGGGCGAGUGGGCAUUUUCUAGAUUUUCAACUCUUCAACUAUUCUGUCCAUUUGUUUUGAGAACCGCGAUUUGCUUUUUGGCUGUAGCUUGACGUUGUCUAGUCUACCACCAUGUCACCUUCAUAAGCGCGCUUCGUUGAUAUGCUGAAGGCCAGCAAUGUUCUUACCCACUUACCUGAGUAGAAAUGCACUGCUACCGGCAAUCAUCCAGCUAUCCAUCAGCUAGUCUACAAUCUACGACAUUUGUAAUGUCCUUUCAACUUCGCCUCUAUCUUAUUUGCC